rnacentral:lncRNA from 1 species
GGCAAACAGAGCUAAAUUUAAAUUUCUCAUUCACGGGGUUUUACAAGUUUUGUAACUGUAAAUUGAAUCUUUUAGUUAAAUUCUUAACUCACUUAAAUUUGAUUUAAUUCCAAUUCCUGGGGAACCAAACAGAAACGCAGGGGACGGGGGGACAUCUCGGUUAAAUUUACUAGGCUAUCUGUUCGACAGGUAGGAAAACAGAACAAAAUUUGACAAACGGCAUUGCUACUCAAG